rnacentral:rRNA from 1 species
AACGAACGCUGGCGGCAGGCUUAACACAUGCAAGUCGAGCGCCCCGCAAGGGGAGCGGCAGACGGGUGAGUAACGCGUGGGAAUCUACCCAUCCCUACGGAAUAGCUCCGGGAAACUGGAAUUAAUACCGUAUACGCCCUACGGGGGAAAGAUUUAUCGGGGAUGGAUGAGCCCGCGUUGGAUUAGCUAGUUGGUGGGGUAAAGGCCUACCAAGGCGACGAUCCAUAGCUGGUCUGAGAGGAUGAUCAGCCACAUUGGGACUGAGACACGGCCCAAACUCCUACGGGAGGCAGCAGUGGGGAAUAUUGGACAAUGGGGGCAACCCUGAUCCAGCCAUGCCGCGUGAGUGAUGAAGGCCUUAGGGUUGUAAAGCUCUUUCACCGGGGAAGAUAAUGACGGUAAUGCGUGAAUAAGCAUCGGCUAACUCCGUGCCAGCCGCCGCGGUAA